UUCCGGUUGAUCCCGCCGGACCUGACUGCUAUCGGAUUGAUACUAAGCCAUGCGAGUCAUUGUAGUAAUACAAGGCAGACGGCUCAGUAACGCGUAGUCAACCUAACCUAUGGACGGGGAUAACCUCGGGAAACUGAGAAUAAUACCCGAUAGAACAUUAUGCCUGGAAUGGUUUAUGUUUCAAAUAAUUUAUUGCCGUAGGAUGGGACUGCGGCCUAUCAGUUUGUUGGUGAGGUAAUGGCCCACCAAGACUAUUACAGGUACGGGCUCUGAGAGGAGUAGCCCGGAGAUGGGUACUGAGACACGGACCCAGGCCCUAUGGGGCGCAGCAGGCGAGAAAACUUUGCAAUGUGCGAAAGCACGACAAGGUUAAUCCGAGUGGUUUCUGCUAAAGGAACCUUUUGCCAGUCCUAGAAACACUGGUGAAUAAGGGGGUGGGCAAGUUCUGGUGUCAGCCGCCCGCGGUAAAACCAGCACCUCAAGUGGUCAGGAUGAUUAUUGGGCCUAAAGCAUCCGUAGCCUGCUUUGUCAGUUUUCGGUUAAUCCAUUCGCUCAACGAAUGGGCUGCCGGGAAUACUGCAAAGCUAGGGAGUGGGAGAGGUAGACGGUACUCGGUAGGAAGGGGUAAAAUCCUUUGAUCUAUUGAUGACCACCUGUGGCGAAGGCGGUCUACCAGAACACGUCCGACGGUGAGGGAUGAAAGCUGGGGGAGCAAACCGGAUUAGAUACCCGGGUAGUCCCAGCUGUAAACUAUGCAAACUCAGUGAUGCAUUGGCUUGAUGCCAAUGCAGUGCUGCAGGGAAGCCGUUAAGUUUGCCGCCUGGGAAGUACGUACGCAAGUAUGAAACUUAAAGGAAUUGGCGGGGGAGCACCACAAGGGGUGAAGCCUGCGGUUCAAUUGGAGUCAACGCCGGAAAUCCCGCG
rnacentral:rRNA from 1 species